AAGAGGACUGAUAGAUUUGGGUUUGGUUUGGAGAGUAAACGAUUGCAGAAACCUCCAGCCUCCAUCAAGGUCAACAUCUGCUUUUAGCCGAUAACAAGCUUAGACAUGAAAGUCAACAUCAUGAAAGGCUUGCUCCGAAAGGACCGAAACUCAAGUUUUGGGAGAAAUCUGAAAAAAGAAGGUUGUACUCAUAGCUGAAACAGAGCAGACCCCGUAUCAUGA